rnacentral:rRNA from 1 species
CCAGCAGCUGCGGUAAUUCCGGCUCUUCUAGCAUAUGUUAAAGUUGCUGCAGUUAAAACGCUCGUAGUUUGAAUUAUUGUGGGGGCCGCGUGGCGUCGGAUUUAUUUUCGGCGUUGCGUGUGCGUCCACAUGAAGUUUUGUGGCUUGUUUUAAUUAACUUGUCACGAGAUAACCUUGAACAAAGAUUGUCGCUCAAGAAAGGACGUUUGGUCCAUUGAGAUUUCAGCAUGGGAUUAUAGAAAAAGGAGAAGAAGUGUAUGGAUUCGUGGAGACACGGGUUUGUGGGCUUUUUCUCAAUGGUUAAUGAGGACGAUGCGUGGAAGUUCAUAUUGGAACGUCAGAGGUGAAAUUCUUGGAUUGUUCCACGAUGAACAUCAGCGAAGGCAUCCUUCAAGUGCGUGCCUGUCAAUCAAGAACGAAAGU